UAGACGGCUGUCACUUGAAGGUGUUAGUGAAUACACGUUUUUUGUUGGAAUCUUUAUUAUUUAGUGUUAUAUUGUGUUGAGAAUCCUUAUAUUUAUUUCAUUUUGUCCUGUGUUUGUCCUAUUUUCUUAGUGGUGUGUGAAAACUCAACUGAACGAUUUAUCUUCAUUACUGAAAAAUGUCAUAAUAUAAAAUACACGGAGUCUUCUCUAACCCUGACAUUGGCAGAAAAUCACCGUUGCUUCUACGGUGGAAGCCAUAUUUUAAAAAAGAAGAAGAAGAAGAAGAAGACU